UGUUUUUGACCACCGUGUAUUGCCUAUGCCCUUCCAGUGUGUGAUUGCCUGCAGUGUACUGACCUUCUGAGCUAUUCCCCUGAACCUCUCGAGUUUGGAUCUCCUGGCUAUACCUGUUUACCGGUGCUGACUCUGGACUGUCUUAUCGACCUGAUUGUUUAACCUGGACUGUGUAUUGGUUGCCUAGUUAUUACAAGUGCAGCUAUGAACCCAGUCGCCUCUAGCACAAUGAGGACUUCCUCAGCUUACUCAUCAUACACUCCUGCUAGUGAACUUGGUCAUAGCCUGCGGCCCAUGCAGAAGUCAGCGCAGGUAGACAGUCAGAGGCUACAGGGGCUGAUUGACGGAAACAAGAGGUGGCUGGAGUUGCGCAAGAAGGAUACCAGCGUACCUCUGUUCACUUGCUAUCAGUCCUCAUCCUCCAAGAGCAGCCAGAUCAGAGUCUAUCAUUACUGAGGACAUGAUGCACAGUUCAGCUCUGUUGUACACUGACUGCCACUGAGGACUUUGAGCAUUUUUAAUGACUGUGACAGGGCAGUGUUGUGAUGUUUACACACAGGGCAUUCCUUUUUAAAACCUUCAGUGCAAAGGUUUUCAGGGAAAACAGGGCCUCUUCUGCAGUGAUUGGAUGAAGAGCUAACUGCAGGUGAUUUGGCAGUUCAGGGAGCCACGUCACAGAGGGCUGAGGACUUUUAACCUCCAACAUUAGAUAUGGCUGUGAGACUUUUUAAAGCACCUCAUUGUCAGCUACAGGAGGGAGCACUGGGAGCACUAGGAAUACUGGAGUAGAGCCACUUCAGGCUGAUACUGACUCCAGACACUGAACUAGUGUUUUACAAGAACAGAGUCUCAGAGUGAAAGCAACUUUCAGGGAACAGGGUGUGACUAAGCUCCUGUCUGAUCCCACAAUGUUAUUCCUUUCUCCUAGCGUCCAUUACUGCUAAUUUUCAGAAUCAUUUAAUCAGUAUCUGGUAUUUCCCAGACUUGGACUUCUAUUUUAUGGCCUAACAAAUUUAAAGUAAAAACAAUUUUGAAUAUCUGCAUUAUUGAAUUAUGGCACAACAGAAACUGAAAAGAUCUGACCACAGAUGUAUGAAUGGCCUCAAAUUAAAAUUAGACAUAAUCUUGGAUUCUCAAUUUUUAUUUUGGAGAGGAGAGAGUACAGAGGGGAAGAGAGAGGUUUUGCAUUCAGUACAUGUAAUGUACAGAUCAAAUCAUGGCAGUUUUUUAAGUAAAUUCAACUUAUCUGGGCUUACAGUGUAGAGACAGACAACCAUAUGCACUCACACUCAUUCCUGUGGGCAAUGUAGAGUCGCCAAUCAACCUAAGCUGUAUUUCUUUUAACUGGGAGGAAGCCGGAGUACCCGGAGGGAACCCACACA